rnacentral:rRNA from 1 species
GAGUUUGAUCUUGGCUCAGAUUGAACGCUGGCGGCAUGCCUUACACAUGCAAGUCGAGCGGCAGCGCGGGGGCAACCCUGGCGGCGAGCGGCGGACGGCAGAGUAACACGUAGGAACGUACCCCAAAGUGAGGGAUAGCCCGCCGAAAGGCGGAUUAAUACCGCAUGUGAUCCACGGAUUAAAGCCUUGUGCGCUUUGGGAACGGCCUGCGUAAAGAUUAGGCUUGUUGGUAAGGUAACGGCUUACCAAGGCGACGAUCUUUAGCUGGUCUGAGAGGAUGAUCAGCCUGACUGGAACUGAGACACGGUCCAGACUCCUACGGGAGGCAGCAGUAGGGAAUUUUCCACAAUGGGGG